GGGAGGCUCAUGUUCACCACGGUGACGGUGGUGUUGUCGGGACCGAUAAAGGUCUCGUGGAAGUAGACGCGGAAGUGGAUUCUCUUCUGGAUGCCGAGUUCGAACUCGGAGGUGACCGGGAAGGCCGUGGCAGCAGCCUGGAGGAGGAAGAAGACGAGGAGGAAGUAGAGAUGAGUGGAGCUGUGUGGGGAUGAAGCCAUGGCUAGGAUGACACAAGGAUCGAAGUGAGGUGGGUACAACGCUGGAUCAGGAACAUGUGUUUAUAGAGUAAUGUCUGCGCCAUGCGUCGUUGACAAAUACCAACUUUCAUAAACAUGUAAACACCAUGCCACACGGAGAUGGAAGAUGGAAGAUGGAAGUAAUAUAGAUAAUCUUGAGCAAUGAAGAUGGAUAACUGAGAGAUCGAUGAUAGUUGCAAGCAGUGGCCAAUGAGGAUAGUGUUGCGUCUUCUGCUAGUGUCAACUGGCCACAUGUAACUCAUGAAUUUGUCUUUUUCUUAACCAACCACAUCGUUCGAUGAUAGUUGCAAACGUUGACAUAAUGCAUGUCAACGUUUCCAUGUGAAUAACACCCACAUAAUCCUUCACCUAUCAAAGGUGUGAUCGGUUGACAAAGUUCAUCAUUAUUAUGUAAGGUACAUUUAUAUUAGAGGAUCGUCAAAUGCCAGUGCAUGUCAUGGUACUUUUCAAUGUGCAUAAUUGACACAAACUGUGUGGAAUCUCUCCCUCUUACUUGCCCCUUCACACAAUGCAUUUCUUUAUCAACAUAUGUUUGCUUCACCUGAGUCAACUGUUCAUGUGAUCCACACUAAAGCCUCCGUCGGUUCAGCAAAAUCGGCUAAUUGUCGUUACUUAAUGUUGAAAAUUGAUAACAAGUCUUUGUAAGACUAUCAAUUAAGAAUUUUGCACAUUUAGUCUCAAGUUGAUUAGAGAUUUAAAGAGUCAAUAGCUAAUGAAGAAUCAAAUAUCUUGAAAGGCAAAGAACCGGUCCUACUUAACAAUUUAUUAACAUUAAAAGAGCUCAAGAUUAAUGUUUUUUUUUAUUGAGGUAAAUAAUUUGUGAAAAAUAAGAGUAUUAUUUUAGACAAAAUAAGUAGUAAAAAAGAGGAUCAAAUUGAUUAACGAAACGUGGCAUGUCCACGAAUCUUAAAGCAUCAGAUUGCAUCAGUAACUAGCGACCACCAAAGCAGUCUCCACGGUGAGAAGGGGGAAAUGACGAUGUGAAGAAUCGCAGAGGCGGCUCUCCUCUUUGUCCUCCUCGGUGGCAACGAGCGCGAUUUGGUGAUCAAGGUCCGAUCACUUACGAUCCCUUCUCGUCCAAUUUUCCCAAUCUUGGUUAGAGUUUUAAUUUGAUGGAGUGCUUGACGCCGUCUUGUAGUUUUGAUGUCAAUUUCUUGGUGCGAUCUACUGUUCGAUCAGAAUCUUUGAUGGGUCCUAGCCGAUGAUCAUGCAACCUAGUUGCUCUAUGAUCAACGAAAACGAAACCUAAUAUUAUAGUUUCUUUUUCCUCUCAGUUUAGAUUCACUUCUUCCCCUUGAUCACGCAAGUAGUCGAAGCUUAACUGCAGGAAUUGUUCGAGUUUUUUUCACGUAUUUGAGCUUUUUGUGUCGUAACCUACUACGUUUUCUUGAUUUUAGACUGAACUAGGCUUUGCACUUGGUUGCUAUAUAUGCAUUCAAGAUAAUACUCUUGCCAUCAAAUCAUUGAAUUAUGUGGGGAUUAUUCAUCGAACAGAUUCCCUUUAAGUCGCAUAGUCUUUUGUUCCUUUCCCUGGUUCUGUUGCUUGUUGCAUAUCUUAAGUACAUUACUGUUUCCUAUGUCUGCAUCUCAUGUAUUUCACGUUAUCCAAGCAAGAAAUUUGUCAGAUGUGCAUGAUGUUCAACCAAUUGAUCUAAUAAACGCCAACUUUAUCUACACAUCAAUUGAAAGAAAAGAACAUCUUAUCAUUAUUCCAGUUUCACAGCUAGAAAGUAGUGAUGCAUCUGAAACUGUAGCUGUAUGUGAAAAUUUCGGCAAGUCAGGUAAAAGAAGUAAGUAUUAAGAAGGAAAUGUAUUGGUACCCCUUCCAAUAAGGAGAUAAUAGUUAAACAAGUUGCUAUCGAUUAAACUUAUGGGUCAUAUAAUUUAGACCUUUUUAGGUCUCGUCUACAUUGUUAGUUGUUAUCAAGGAAGUAACUAGCAAUUUAUUGUGAUUCAUGAAUUCCUUUGCAUAGGAUGGAUUUAAUAAUGUUGCAUGAGUAAGGCUUUCUGCAUUAUGGCAUGGCUCAUGUUGAUAAUAUGCGGGCACAUAAAAACUACUGUAAGGGUCUACUUACAGAACCUUAUAGGAAGAUGUUUUGGAUAAUGGCUACAUGCAAUUAGUGGUGUUAAGGAAGGGACCUAUUUUUGGGUUGAUUACAUUGUAACAUUGCAGUGCCUUUAAAUUAGUAAGCUGCAAUAUAGAGAUUAAUAAGGGAACGUUGUGUACUCUUCUGAACCAAAUGAUGUUGUAUUUCUUCUUAUUUGGAGGUUUCAAGUUUCUUGAUUGAGUUUCAUUUUGUUGUAGUCUUUAUCUAAAUUUGACUCUUAAAAACCUCGAGUAAUUUAGUGAAUGUUGUUGGAUAAUGCUUCAAUCAUAGUUGGUGUGUUGCCAUCUAUAAUUAACUCCAGAUGACUAGAAGACGGGAGGAACUAAAAGACAAUCAAGUAAAAUGUUGGUAAACAAAACUUAAUAGGUACAAAGGCAUUUUAGUUUUUAGGUUGUUCAUUUAGUUGAUGUCACAUGGAAUAUCAUGUCCACAUCCACAAACUAUGUUUGUUUGUAGAGAGUACCUGUGCCAUUUAUUAGAUUCUACCCAACUAUCAUGUGACAAUAACAAUAUAAAAGGUUGAUUUUUUUAAUAUAUAGCGUCCUCAGAUUUGUCCAAUGAUGCAACUCAAAUUAGAUGAUUUUUGGCGACUUGAAACUUCAAAUACGUCUGCUUGAGUACCAUGGGUGCCAGCAGCAUUAUCUAGGCCAGUUUCACAUCAAUUUUAAGAGUAGCUGGAUGAUGAUAAAUUAAACCAUAUCAUCAAGACUCCUGCUUCUGUGUAUUGUAGUUUUAUUGAUCCUGAUCUUCCAUUAGAAUUUUAAGACUCAUGCAUGCGAAUACAUCAGAACGUCCUUUAAUUGAUGAAUUCUUUACCUCUGUCUUGACGAGCAGUUUCACCAGGAAUCAAACUAAUGGUGCAUGGCCUGAAGAAUGUAUGGGGAUCAAUGCGUGCAGUAGUUUCCACAGCAUGUGAGUUUAUGGUACUAACAUCAAAAGGAGCCGCUGAUGAGAAUAUUGUAGAGCAAAGACUGCUCAAGGAGCUGUGCAAACAUGGCUUUUAAUAAAAUUGACUUGGAUAGGGAGUUUUCUUGGGCUAAAAGAUUAUGACCUGUAGCAGUCCAUGGAUGAGCUUUUUGGUUGUGUAUGAUGAAUAGAUUUUUGCCUUGAGAGCAGAGCUUCAGGUUCUCGUUAGCCUGUAACUCCUUGCUUCUUUUAUCACAUGCUUUAGUGAUCCUCGAUGCCUGCAAGAUUACUGAAACUAAUAUUUGAGAUUGGUAGCCCAAUUUUUUCUCUCUCCAGUGGGUAGUUCAUUUGGUACCCUAUGGACUCGGUAUCUUUCCUUGCUUAUCCCGUAGCAGCAGCGGAAAUUUUGGUAGGAGAAGCUUUAGAUUGACUUUGUUUUCUCCAGUUUGUGGUACAAAUAUCAUUAUCUGAUGUGGUGUCUCUUGAGAUUGAUGUGGCAGGUUCUAAAUCUUACCAGGUAUUAAAGGAUUGUGGAUGUUACUUUUUCUUCUUUUUGAUUCCGUUGAAAUCUUUUGGUAGGUUGUAACUCACAGACGGAGAUUGAGCCGCAGCAAAUUGACUUGAAGAGCAUCAUCAUGGCAGCAACUGGGCUUGGACUUGUUUGAGGGAAGGUCACUUGGACUGGUAUGCUACUUAGCCCAAUCCAAUUGUUUGGUUACCGCAAAGCUCACUGGUUCAACAGAGAUGCAUACUAUUUCACGAGGGAUUACCUUGUUUAACUUUUGCUCCUAAGCCAUACAACACCAACGCUAACAGCUGAAGAAGAAUAUUUGGGAGUCUCAAUUAGAUCUUACAGAUCGUGUUCUCCCCUUCUGCUGCUUAGGAGGAUGGCGACGAAGCUGAGGCCAGCGCAGCCGCCGGUGACGAGGUUGCCCUCGCGGACGAGGAUCUUGAGGGCGACGGCGCUGAUGUCGGCGGUGAUCCGCCGCCCCUCCAUCACCAGCGCCCGCCACGGCUUCCCGGCGAAGGCGAGCAGCACCAGGACGGUGCAGCACGUGACCAGCGUCGCUGGCACCGCCACCGGUAGCGCUGCCCCCACGGACAACAUCCCGAACAACUCUCCGUACUGAUUGUGUAAAUGUAAAGACAAAGUUUGAUUGAAGCUUAUUAACAUGUUCCCUGGGGGGAGGAUUUUCAGAGCAGUGAGAUUUCCUCGUGCAAUCGGAGAAAUCUUAUUUGCUAUCACAUACAGCACCGACGUAUACAACCUCGACGACCAUGAUGAUGAGGAGGACGAGGAGGAGGCGACGAUGUUGUACCAGGAAUGGAUGGCAAGGAGGAGGCCCCAGGAGCAAUGAAGGAGGAGGGUGUAGAAGAGGAGAAAGAGGUAGACCCAUGUCCGCCUCUUGUUCGUAACUCUGGUAUGUCCGCGGUCGCCCUUGGAUGCUUGUUUCUCAUGGCCAGUGCUGCAGUUGCUGUUGCAGAAGAAGUGGAUGUGUAGCAGAAGCAAAAGUAAGUCCAACUCUGCUUGUGUCUCUGAGUUUCCCACCUUAGUCAAGCCAGCUGAAUAGCCUACUCACUUUUUUUAAUUUUUAUUAUUGUUUUAUCAUUUUUUAGAUGAAUGAUAAUAUUUAUAUAUGAAAAGAUAUUUUAUCUCAUUAUUUUACUUAAUAUUUUAAUAUUUAUAUCGAUAUUGGACUAACGGGAGAUGCCUUGCUCGGAUAGAAUAUAUCUAAGGGGGGAUAUAUAUAACUGAUAAGGGUAAUAAUUGUAAUAAGACUCACGUGACAUCAGCUGCAUCAGGUGACGCAUCACGCCUCUGUUGACUUGAUGAGGCACCUGGUCAACGUGGAUCGGAACGCCUACCAAGGCGCAUUAACGCUCUGUUCAGGUUCGAUCCCUCACGCCACGCCAACGGCAACGUUAGACGCUACCAGAAGUACGGUCCCGCUCCCUGCGGGCCAGCACAUUAGACAACGGUAAUUAUCACUAUAAAAACCCUCGCACUCUGAAGGGAAAAAAAGGGGGGGAGGGAAGGGAGAAAUCCCCUAGGACCAUCCACUAACUUGAUCGUCAGAGGGAUCGGGUCGAGCUCCCCGACCCGACCUUUGUGUAGGUGCGAAGGCGGAGGUCGUCCACCAAAGGCGCAGGCGGGGGUUCCCUCCCGGUGAAAACAGCGACCUCGUCCCAAUCGGAACACCGUGAUCGGCCACCUUAGCAGUCGGGAGGAGCGUCCCAGGAAGAUCCCCGUCAUCCGGACCCGAACCAAACCGCGUCGGUCCCGAUGCCACGGCUUAAAGUUGUUCACACUAACACUAACAUUUCGAUGUUUGUAUUAUGUUGGGACAUUUUUUUUUCGGUGAGAUAGUGAGUUGAGUAUUUUUUAUCCGAUCAAAAAGUUAUUUGAUAUAUUUAUAUUAUUGGGAUCAAUAUAGUAUAGAUGGGUCUAAUUUCUCUUACAAAAAAGAAUACCAUGAUUUAAACAUUGGGACUGAAAAAAAAUCUUAUAAGAUGCAAAGUUCAAGCACUAUCUUGGGUGGUCAGGUUGGGAACUCAUUGGAAGCUCUAUUACCACCGAUUAUGUAAGGUUAAAUUAUUUAAUUAGAAAAUAUUUAUUUUGCAUGUCAUAUUGAUGCGAAACAUCAUUAUUUUCAAACUAAUUAUCUCCUAUUUAUAUCGAAUCCAGAUUAAUUAUCCAUUGAAUUGUACCUAAUUUAUAAGGAUUCGCUGAAGGUAAAAUAAGCUUGAGAUAAUAUAUGAGUUCCACCCUUAAAAGAGAUGAUGAUUGAGCAAUUAGUUUAUCCCUCUAACUAUGGAGUAGGUUGGGAAGUCGAUGAAGCUCGAAAGAGAGGAUCCUGAGCAAGCAAUCAACCAACCUCAGUGGUUCUUCACUGAAAGGAGGAAGCAACGUAAGCAACAUCUAUGGAUGAGAGCAUUUUUCAUAUUUUUAAUGGUGGAGAAUCCCCGUUGAUUUGAGUUGAAAGUGUCAACUAGAAAUAAUCAAUAGAUCAUGGUCGCUAAUAUCAAGUUAUCUCCGAUAACAUCAAAAUCUCACUUCAAUAAUAUCUUCCAUUGUAAGAAUCCAACCCACAACAAUUAAAUACAAGAAAUGUGAUAGGGAAAGAGAUCAACUUCAAAAUCUCUAUGAGAAUGAUCGUUAGAUUUAAUAUUAUACUGGAUAGUAAUUGUAAUACCCCAAUUAGAAGUGAUAUGGUGAUAAUUGUCCAUCAGGACUUCUUUUAUAUUCUCAUAAAACUUUUCAUUAACUCAAGCAAAGUUCUUCAUGAUGUAUCACAUGUUAUGAAUAGUAUAUAUAAAUAGGGGAUCGAUACAUGAACCACCAUAUAUUGGGAGGUACAUAUUACAUGACCCUAUAUUAGACAAUACAGGAUCUAUACCAAUUGGUAUUGAUUGAAAUCCAAUCAUUAUAAAUUUGUGCUGACAAUUAUAUUGGGAGGUUACAAUUGCUUUAUUUUAAAUGAUCAAUUUGAUUGUUUGAACUAUAGAGAAGGGGUUUUAAACCCUUUCUUCUCUCCUUUUUCUACCAAUUUCACUCAAUCUUUUCAACUCUUUCUCACUUAUAUCUUUUUCUCAUUGUCAUGUUUUCACUCUCUUAAACUCAUCAUAACUAUAAUUCAUGGAUUAGAACAAAUGUGAGAGGCUAAUUUAGAAGGAUUACAAGAAGAAUAUUUUGAUCGAGAGGUAUAUAUUAUCAUUCUAGAUUUUUAUUUAUAUAUGAGAUGAUUAAGCCUAUUCUAUGUUUAUUUAUACAAUUUGAUGGUGAUGUAUCUAGAGGAGCAAUCUUUUACACUUGUCAUCUAGAUUCAGGCUCGAUAAUGUACUAGUUAAAUUUACACUAUGCCAUAAUGGGGGUUGAGGAGGAGGAUGCGACAUGAUGACAUUUACUGAUGAGAGCUUCUUUCAUAUUCUUAAUAGUGGAGAAUCUCUCGUUGACUUGAGUUUAAAAUGUCAACAAUAAAGACUCCGCUAAUAUCAAGUUAUCUCUAAUAACAUCAAAAUCUCACUUCAAUAAUAUGUAAAAAUCCAACCCAAGACAAUCGAAUAUAAGAAAUGAGAUUGGAAGGAGUUUGACUUCAAAAUCUCUAUAGAAAUGAUGUUAGAUUUAAUACUAAACUAGAUAGUAAUUGUAACACCCCAAUUGGAAACAAUGUGGCAACAAUCAUUGGCAAGGGCUUCUUUCAUAUUCUUAAGGUGGAGAACCUCCUAUUAAAUCAAGUAAGAUUCAUUGUACCAUGAUAUACCAUCUGAGACAAAUGAUACAUAUCAUUCUGACAAGGGAUUAGCAUGCGAACAGUCAUAUAUCGGGUGGUACACAUUACAUGAUUCUAUAUCGGAUGAUACGUGAUCUAUACCGAUCGAUAACGAUUGAAAUUUAAUUAUUACUGACUUGUACCAAUCGGUAACAAUUGAAUUUUGAUCGUUAUCAAUCAAGAGCUAAGAUUGUCUUAUUUUAAAUGAUCAAUUUGACUAUUUAAACUAUAAAAAAUAUUUUUAUAUCCUUUCCUCUCCCCACUCUUUCAACCCAUUUCACUCGAUCUUUUUAACUUUUUCAAACUCUUCUCACUCACAUCUUUUAUCUCAUUCUUAUAUUUUUACUUUCUUAAACUCAACAAAGCUAUAAUUAUAUAUUAAAUCAAAUAUAAGAUGUUAAUUUGAGAGGAUUAAAAAGAAUAACACUUUAAUUAAGAUAUAUAUAUAUAUAUAUUUCUUUUUAAAUUUUAUAUUUAUAUAUAAGAUAAUUAAGCUUAUUCUAUGUGGUCAUGUCUAUACAAUUUUAUACUUGUCACCCAAGAUUUAGAUCAUGAAACUCGACGAAAUACUAGUUAAGUUUAUACACGGGAGGGAAGGGAAAAACAAUGGAUGAUUUUGAAUAGAUGUGAUAGAGUAUACAUGACAUAGAUAUAGAUCAAACCUCGUCAUAUUCACAACCAUUGUAUUGUGAAGAAUCUUAAGACUAAUAGUAGUAUGAUGAUAGUUGAUUAUUCUUUUCCAAGUAGUAGUAUGAUGAUCAAUCUUAUGAUAUAGAGCAACAGAUCAGUGACGAAAGUAAAAGUUUAAACAUUCAUAAUGCUCCAUACUAAUAUAUGUCAUAAUUGUCCUUGCCUCAGGAGCCAUCUACGUGGUUCAUGACGAUCAACUUAUAACCAUCACAACAUUGAUGUACCAUUAACAUACGAUGUAUGUAACACCCUACUUCUACCCUACAUGUAUAACUAAAAUAUGAUGUCAUAUUUUAAAUUUUUAUUACUGCUAUCAAUAGGAGAGUAGUGAAAGUAGAUAAUCUUAAAAUUAAAACAUGCUAACUUACUUAACAAAAUGAUAGGAUUUCUCCUAUAUAUAGUAUUUUGGACAUUUAUACAUAAUUAUAGCCUCUAACUAAGAGAAAAACAUAAAUAUAACAAGUCCAAAAUUUAUACACACAAAACACCUACAGAACAUCAUGCAUAUCUAAGCUGGUAUAGGCUUGCAUAUACUCACUGCUCUACCCAAUCACUUGGGUGGGGUAUUAGUAAUGAGUACACUCAAUAAGUAUAAGCCCUUAUAGCUUUAUUUAGGUAGCAUAUAUCAUAUCAUAUAUGUAAUAUUUUAAAAUUAUUGGCGUAAGACAUUUAAUGGAAAACUCCCUUAUCAUAUAACUUCUUUAGUAAACAUAAUCCCACAACAUAGCAUAUAUAAAAUAAAGAGUUAAAGUUCUACUUCAAAAUAAUUCAAAAUGCUUAUAUGCAAAUAUAGGAAGUAUAAUAAAUUCAUUGACUUCUAUGCCCUACAUCAUAAUAUAUAUUUGCAUUCCCAUAUCAUAUGUUAUUAUAAUAUAUACGUGCACUCUCACACUACACGUCAUAAUAUUUACAUACACUCCCACAUUAUACAUCAUAGCAUAUACGUGCAUUACAUAUCAUAAUAUAUUCGUGUACUCACGUACCAUACAUCAUAGAAAAUAUAUACACUCUCAUACCAUAUGUCAUCAUAUAUGUAUACGUAUAUGAUAUUUUUAUCAUAAUUCAUAUAUUUUUAGACUUACAAAAUAUAUACAUUCAUAUUUAACUAAUGCUUUGCUCAUGACAAUCCUAUCAUUCGAAAUAUAAUUUUUAAAUUGUAUUAUACAUAUGACACCAUUAUUUUAUAGUAAAUUAAACUUAUACUUAAUUAAACUUAAAAAUAAAGAUAUUAAUAAAAAAUCAAGUUCUUUAAUAGUCGAAUGUAUUAGGGAGUGAUACUCCUUGGAGCAAAAGGUCAUGAGAUGUUUUAAUUAAUAAUCCUACCUCUUGAAUUAUUGAUUUAUAAUAAUUUAUAAUAAUAAUUCAUAAAAAAAAAAUUGAUAAAAAUCUCUUAUAAAAUAAAUUAUACUCAUCCUAAUAAUAUAUGAAGUUAUUCCUUCUCCAUGGUAGCUAAAAUUCAAAUUGAAUUAGUGUCGAAAGAUUAGAGAUCCAUGGCAAAGUAUGAUGUCGUAAUUACAUAUUAAUUGCGUCAUACAAAAAGGUGAAACAUCGUUUGUGCGUUCUUAUAUUUGCUUCCAUGUAAAAUGCUUUAAUUACAUUAAAUUAUAUGUGACAUUGACACAUAAACACACAGUUUUUAUUUAUUUUAAGAAAAAGAUAAAGUACAAAGUGACAAGUAAUUAUAUGCGACAUUGGCACAUAAACACACAACAGAGAGAGAGAGAGAGAGAGAGAGAGAGAGAGAGGAUAUAUAUAUAUAUAUAUAUANNNNNNNNNNNNNNNNNNNNGAGAGAGAGAGAGAGAGAGAGAGAGAGAGAGAGAGGAUAUAUAUAUAUAUAUAUAUAUAUAAGGCGGAGAUUCUUCGUGUCAUGUAUUAAGCUUCGGUGACAUCUCGAAUCAUGCGAUGGCACUGUGAUGGAGGUCGUUGUAGUAGACGACGUAGACGUCGUAGGCGACGACGAGCUUCGCGACAGAGGACGUCACCGUCUCGGUCACCAGCUUCCCCCAUGCGUACUGGAACACCCCCGUCCCUCCCACGAUGGCCCGCUCCGAGUUCCCGGACGCGUCCAGUCUCCCGAUCACCGUGAGAGUGCUGUUGACGAACUUCCCCGCCGUGAACACCAGCACCAGCGGUACCAGCAUCACCUCCUCCUGCAUUGAUACGUGGAAGCCCGCGCCCUGCACCCUUCCGAGGAAGGUGGAGCUUUCGUCGGGGCCGACCCUCAGCACCGUGUCGUAGAUCUCGAUGUUCCCGAAGGUGUAGGGGAGGCUCAUGUUCACCACGGUGACGGUGGUGUUGUCGGGACCGAUAAAGGUCUCGUGGAAGUAGACGCGGAAGUGGAUUCUCUUCUGGAUGCCGAGUUCGAACUCGGAGGUGACCGGGAAGGCCGUGGCAGCAGCCAGGAGGAGGAAGAAGACGAGGAGGUGGUGGAAAAGAGAGGAGCUGUGUGGGGACGACGCCAUGACUAGGGUGGUGGAUGGACAAGGAACGUGAAGUGAGAAGUGAGAUGAGCACAACAAUAAGAGGGAAAGUGUCUUUAUAGAGCAUUGGCUUAUGGCUCUGUCAUCAUCAUACAUAUCAUAUUUAUCACAGGUAAGUAUGAUGUACACAUCAUCAUAUUAAUAUUUAAGAGAUUAAAAUUAAAUAAUAUUUUGAAUCCUUAAUAUUCGAUAAAUAAGUCUUUUAGAUGUAAGAAUAUCUCAAAUAAAUUUUUGAAUAAUCAACCUUUGAUAAGUGGAUCAUCAUUAUAUUUAUACACGGAAAUGAAUCAUUUACAAUUAAUUAGACUUUGACAUGUUAAACUCAAUCAAUUCAUGAACUAUUAUUGAAAAUAUUUAUGGGUAUACGAUUAGAAAAAUAAGCUUAUAUGACUAAGGAUUGAAAGAAUCAGAUAACAUAAUAGUUUAAGUCUUUGGAUUGAAUUAAUAUCUUACUUGAUAUAUAUAUUAACUCUGAUCAAUUUGAUUCAAACUCAUCAAUAGUCAUACAACUAUGACAUGAACAAGCUCUAAAUUGAAGAUUUAUCGGGCAAGCUUAUUGAACUCAUCCAAGAGUCUUAUGGGUGCUAUUCAAAACAAAAUUGGACAAUCGUAUCCUCAUUGAACUUGGAAGAAAUCGACUCGAGCCACGUUAAUUUAGAUAUUGAGGUUGGAUUCCCCUAGUUGGACAUCUUAGUCGAACCUCAAAGUCAAAAGUCAUUCCAUCUUCCAACUAGAGCAACAAGAAUUCGGAAAAAAAUAAUGAACCAAAUCGAGUCAAGUUCGCCGGAUCUAAGUUCGACCGAAUGGUGUAUUUGGAGUCCAUCCUUCCAAUGCGGGGGGAAGAAGAUGGCAUAAAAUGCAAUAAGCGAUGCAUAAUAACACCGGUGGACGCCCGGUGAUUACAGCAUACGGGCUCUCGAUCGGUAGGUGCCUCGCUCUCCGCCUUCAGCAAGCAACGUAGACGUACAGCGACGGCUCUCGGUCGGUAGGUGCCUCGAAUGCAGGUGUCGCUGGGGAGAUGGGUGAUGGAGGUCCAAAAGAUGAGGCCAUUGACAUGAUCGAUGUCGACUGUAAUCUUCUCAUCUUAGGACAAGAUCUUCCACCUCACGGUCUCGUACGUUGCAUGGUGGGUGAACGAGGAGGAAGCCAUCGAUCGGGCGUUGGUUUCCUCCGUACACUUAUCUUUUCUCCAUGCUGUAGCUGUCGGUGAUCACAUUUGUUGCAUGUGAUACACGUUUUCUUUUUUUUUUUUCACCUUUGUCGUGUACUCUAAUUCUGAAAGAACCAUCACUUUCUGAUCACUGUACAUGACUGUGAUUCUUGCACAGUCAUUGAUCUAUUUCUUCUAAUAAUUGACUAUGAUUCUUGCACAAGAGAACUCGUAAAGCAUGAAAAUUUGAUAUUAUUAAUUAAUUUUAAUAAUAAUUUUAUUUUUAAAGUAAACAAAUAAAUUAAAAGAAAAUGGAGAAUUGCAUAUUCUCCACUCUGUUGAUACCCCUAUUUACUUGAGAGGAGACCAAUGUAGUUUCUACAAUCAAGUCAAACUAGAGUCUAAAUCAAAACUAUGUAGACCUCCCUUCCAUCCCUCUAGCUAGGUCUCAUUCGGUGCCAACCGACACCAUCGAAACUUUAGCUCAGUUUGCUUAAAUGUUCAGCUAGUAAACAUACAAACAUAUCACUUUCCAUCAAUAUAAAAGUACAUAUAUAUAUUACAAUAAUAUGUGAUAUGAUAGUACACACAUAUGUUAUGAUAUAAGGCGUAGAAGAUCAUACAUUUUUUAGGCUUCCUACAUGUGCAUAUAAGUAUUUGAAUUAUUUCGAUAUAAAAUUUUACCAUCUUAUUGUAUAUAUAAUGUGUUGUAGGAUUAUUUAUACAUGCUAAAGAAUUUAUAGGAUGAUGUGUCUAUCAUUAAAUACUUUAUGUUAAGGAUUUUAAAAUAUUAUAUACAUGAAAUGAUGUGCUCACAUAAAUAAAACAAUAAAGACUUAUAUUUACUGAGUGAUUAAUCACCGUAGAUCAUAUUUUACAGAUAAAAAUAUUAGUAUCCCACUCAAGUGAUUGUAUAGGGAAGUAAGCACAUGUAAGCCCAUGCUAGCAUAGAUAUGAACGAUGAUUUUUCAACAUUUUAUGUAUAUAAAUUUUGGACAUAUUAUAUUUAUGUUUUUAUUUGGUUAAAUGAUAUAAUCAUGUAUUUAAAACAUUAUGGAUAGGGGAAACCCUAUUAUUUUGUUUAGUAAGUUAGCAUGUUUUAAUUUUAGGAUUGUCAACUUUCCAUUGUAGUCAUAUUGAUAUCAGUAAUUAAAAUUUAAAAUGUAACAUCCUAUAUUAAUUAUACAUGUAAGAUAUGGAAGAAACUAGAAGUAGAGUAUUACAUAUUCAAUGUUCUUGAUAUCGAAUCCAUCUAUGAUAGACUCGGUGAAAGGCUACAGUUACAUCCAAGUCAUCCUUUAAAGAAUCAAAAUAUAUAUUAACAAUUAUGAAAUGUGAAAGAUUUUUUAACUAAUAAAUUAACUAGAAAAAUUGAAUGAACGAAUGAAUGCCAUGUUUAUGGGAGGAAUAGGUACAUGUCAUUUUGUCAAGGCACGUGAUUUAUUUGGAAUUUAAUGUAACUUAUUCGCAUUAUGUUGAUUAUAGUUUGCGACAAAUGUAAAGAUUCCAUAUCAAAAAAUAAAUUCCGAUGUGCAUGUGUUAGAUCCCUUAUGAAACUUAAUUAUUUAUAGAGUGACUUUAACAUAUAGUAAAUAAGUUUGUAUCUAUGUAACUUGGAUGAUCAUAUUGUGAAAUAUACAAAUAAUAUCUCAAGUUAUUCCUUCUCCGUAGUAGCUAAAUUUCAACUACAUUUGGUGUCGAAAGAUUAGAGAUCCAUGACAAAGUAUGAUGUUGUAAUUACAUAUUAAUUGCGUGAUAGAAAAAGGUGAAACAUCGUUUGUGUGUUCUCAUAUUGCUUCCUUGUCCGAUAAUUUAAUCGCAUUAAAUUAUAAGCGACAUUGAUAGGUUGAUGUUCACAAAAACACACAACACUAACAUUAUGACCCAUCGACCAUUUUGUACCCACUUGAUUCAGUUUUUAGAAUUAUAUUUGUCUGUUUCCAAAAAAAAAUAUUUCUUUAUGUAGUACGAAGUAUUUUUUUGAAUUAUAGUAUAUUAUAGUGAAAUUUUUGACAGAUAAGCUCACUCUACAGGAGAUGAGAUUUUUACCUCAUAACACUCAUCGCUUAAUUCUUUCCAAGUAAUUAGAUCCUUUUCAUCAAAGCAUUCAUAAUCUUUUAUAUAUAUAUAUAUAUAUUAUUGAAUUGAGCUGUACAAUAUUAUUUUAGUUGAUCUUAUUAACAACUUUAUAGUGUGGUCCGAUGCAUAAUACUGCUACUAAUCCUAAAUAGGAGAAGAAUAAAUUUACUAUAGUCAUAUAUACCUACAGCUAUGAAAAAUAAAGCAUGUCACCGUACUGUGCUGCAAAAUAUCGAGGUUUGUAAAAGCUUUUCUUUCUCAAUAAUAAGAAGCUUUUCUUUAUUUUAAGAUAAAGAUGGAAGUACAAAGUGACACGUAGAAUAGCAUUUAUUUCAGCCUUUUGUUUUGUCCUUAUUCCAACCGCUGUCUUCAUGGAGUGACACCAUAGCCGGAGUUCUUUUUGUCGUGUAUUAAGCGUCGGUGACGGCAAGGUCUCGCAAUCAUGGGCUGGCACUGCGACCGACGUCGGUGUAGUAGAUGACGUAGACGUCGAAGGCGGCGACGAGGCCCUCGACGGAGGACGUCACCAGCUCGCUCGCCAGCUUUCCCCAUGCGUACUGGAACACCCCCGUUCCACCCACGAUGGCCCGCUCCGCUUUCCCGGACGCGUCCAGUCUACCGAUCGCCGUGAGUGUGCUGUCGGCGAACUCCCCCGCCGUGAACACCAGUACCAGCGGUAUCAGAGACGCCUCCUCCUGCUGCGACAUGUGGAAGCCCGCGCCCUGCGCCCUUCCGACGACCGUCGAGCUAGCGUCGGAGCCGACCCUCAGCACGGCGUCGAAGAUGUCGAUGUCCCCGAAGGUGUAGGGGAGGCUCAUGUUCACCACGGUGACGGUGGUGUUGUCGGGGCCGAGAAAGGUCUCGUGGAAGUAGACGCGGAAGUGGAUUCUCUUCUGGAUGCCGAGUUCGAACUCGGAGGUGACGGGGAAGGCCGUGGCAGCAGCGAAGAGGAGGAAGAAGACGAGGAGGUGGUGGAUAGGAGAGGAGCUGUGUGGGGACGAAGCCAUGACUGGGGUGGUGGAUGGACAAGGAACGUGUUAUACUUGGCAAAGAUUGACAAGUGAGAGGAGCACAAGGCUGGAGGAGGGAGAGCGUAUUUAUAGAGUAUUGGCUAUGUCAUCGUCGUGCAUAUAUCAUAUCUAUCAUAUUAGACGAUAUUUUAGACUCUCUUAAAAAGGUAAGUAUGUAAGCAUCAUCAUAAUAAUAUUUUAGAGAUUAACAUUAGAAAGGAUUUCAAAUCCUCAAUUCAAAGUUGAGUCUUUUAGAUGUAAGAAUACCUCAAACAAAAUUUUUGAAUCAUCAAACAAUAAGUGAAUUUUCAUCAUGUUCAAAGAUUAAAAUGAAUCAUAUACAAUUAAUGAGACUUAGCAUGAUAAAUUUAAGUAAUUAUUAUUGAAAAUAUUUAUGCAUGUGAGAUAAAAAAAGAUGAGCGAAAAGUAAUAUAUGACUAAAGAUUGAAGGAAUCAGAGUACAGAAAGUCGGUUUGACAAGUAACACCACGUUUAGCCUUCCUCUUGAACGCCGGUCUCGUUCCAAAAUCGCCGGACGGACCACUUCGCUCUCCGCCGACAACACGCAACGUGUAGCUUCGCUGGGAUACGGGUGAUGCAGGUCAAAGAAGAUGAAGCCAUCGACAUGAACGAUGUGGACUGUAAUCGUCUCCAUCCUCGUCUUCUCAUCUUAGGACUAUAUCUUCCACCACACCGAAUCAUUCGUUGUAUGGUAGGUGAACAAGGAGGAAAGCCAUCAUCCAUGGGACUGCUUUUGGUUGGUUAAUCCUCACACUAGCUUCUCUCGAUGCUGUACCUGAUGGUGAGGCUUCUUGUGCACGUUUUGUUUCCAAAAAAUCUGUCUAUUUUGUUGAGAAAAUAUUUUCAUCUUAAUCAGUAUAAAUAGGGGGAAAAUAGCUUCAAUGUAAAACAGUUUUUUCAAUAAUUCUUCUUGUCUUCUAUUCUUUCCAACAUGAUAUCAGAGCAAGUGAGAAGAGCGAGACUCCAUGGCCAUCGAAGCCUGUUAUUCACCACAUCUCUUACCUUUGUAGAGCAGAGAAGGGGGUGAACUCUUUUCCAUCGGACUCGCUUCCCUGUCGGACUCCCCUCUCCGUCCGCUGAUACCCCAGUCGCUGUCGUGACCACACCCGGCAUCGCAAUCAUGUGCGACCACAACAACGAGGGCCUGUUUUGGUGCGACUGGCUACUCGCCCUCGGCAGUGGAUCCCUCUCCAACCCUGUCCGCUCCUUCCCUCUUCUCCUCCAUGCGGCUUUCUUCUUCAUCGGCGUCGCCUGCACCGACCCUAAGCUCGGGUUAUCUACCGCCAUAUCAUCAUCUUCAUCAGGUUGUGAUCUAUAUCAAUCGCAGCCUGCUGCCUCGGUGUCAACUGUCGAUCCUUAGCUCCUACUAAGAGCUAAUCGCUACAGCUUCCUCCUACUGCAGCUUCCUCAUGUUGCAGCAUCGUUGUAGCUUCCUCCUCUGUUGCAGCAUCGUUGCGGCUUCCUCCUCUGUUGUAGUUUCUGCUGUAGCUUUCUCCUAUGCUGGAGCAUUGCUGCAACUACCUCCUUUGCUCCGACUUCCUCCUUUAUUACAUCUAUGCUGCAGCUACCUCUUCUACUAUAGCUUCCUCCUCUAUUGUAGCAUUACUACAGCAUCGCUGCAGCUUUCUCCUAUACUGUAGCUUCCUCCUCUUCUGUAGAAUCACUGCAGAUUCCUCCUCUGCUAUAGCAUCGUUGCAGCUACCUCCUCUUCUGCAUCUACCUCCUCUACUGUAGCAUGAUAGCAGAUAAGAUUUCUCUAACUAUAUGAGAAAAUCUAGAGUUGAGAGAAAUCCUCCCUCUUAAUCUGUAUAAAUAGGGAGAGAAUACCUUCAAUGUAAAAUAGUUUCUUCAAUAAUUCUUCUUGUCUUCUAUUCUUCCCAACAGAUAAAAAGGGAUGUGGACGAGGCCAUCAAAAGGAACACACGUCAUUUAUGAUUACUGCUCGCUGCUCUUUGUUACUCGCCGAUGUCCUCAUCCAUCAGUAUGAACUGGAUGAGAGAAUAAUAUUCAAAAUACUCAGUUAAUAUUUUUCUUACUAACAGGAGUUUCUAUAGCUCAUGAUUCAUAACUUUAUUUUUGUCCCUUGUAUAAGAGCUGAUUUAAGUUUCUGUAUAGUUUUAUCAAUCGUGUUUUUUAUGCUAGUUUUACUUAUGACGCUGAAUGGCUUAUCUUAAUUACUAAUUGAGCAUUCAUCUCAUUAAGCAUUUAAUUAGAUGACACAGGGCACAUGCUCACGGUCACUUAUGGCUCCUCUUGCCAUCCUUCACGUGCAUGAUAUAUAUAUAUAUAUAUAUNNNNNNNNNNNNNNNNNNNNNNNNNNNNNNNNNNNNNNNNNNNNNNNNNNNNNNNNNNNNNNNNNNNNNNNNNNNNNNNNNNNNNNNNNNNNNNNNNNNNNNNNNNNNNNNNNNNNNNNNNNNNNNNNNNNNNNNNNNNNNNNNNNNNNNNNNNNNNNNNNNNNNNNNNNNNNNNNNNNNNNNNNNNNNNNNNNNNNNNNNNNNNNNNNNNNNNNNNNNNNNNNNNNNNNNNNNNNNNNNNNNNNNNNNNNNNNNNNNNNNNNNNNNNNNNNNUUGGACGUCACCAGUUUGCUCACCAUGUUCCCCCACGCGAACUGGAACACCCCAGUCCCUCCCACGAUGGCCCGGUCCGCCUUCCCGGAGGUGUCCAUCCUCCCUAUCAACGUGAGCGUGCUGUCGCAGAAGUCCCCGGCCGUGAACACCAGCACCAGCGGUAUCAGCGACGACUCGUCCCGCUGCGACGCGUGGAAGCUCACGCCCUGCGCCCUCCCGACUUCAGUCGAACGCUUGGAGGGGCCGGUCCUCAGCACGGCGUCGAAGAUGUCGACGUCCCCGAAGGUGUUGGGGAGGCUCAUGUUCACCACGGUGACGGUGGUGUUGUCGGGGCCGAGAAAGGUCUCGUGGAAGUAGACGCGGAAGUGGAUUCUGCUCUGCCGGCCGAGUUCGAACUCGGAGGUUACCGGGAAGGCUGUGGCAGCAGCCAGGAGGAGGAAGAAGACAAGGAGGAAGUAGAGAUGAGAGGAGCUGUGUGGGGAUGAAGCCAUGGCUAGGAUGACCGAAGGAUCGAAUUGAGGUGGGUACAACGCUGGAUCAGGAACAUGUAUUUAUAGAGUAAUGUCUGUGCCAUGCGUCGUCAACAAAAGCCAACUUCCAACCAAAUCUCAUUAUCAUGUCUACAUAAAAAACCCAAACGAAUAUUACUCUUGCAGGCGAAGGUCUCAGCGUAGGGAAGAAGAUAGCAUAUGGUAACACGAUGUACACACCAUAUAGUCUUCUCCAUAUAUAUAUAUAUAUAUAUAUAUAUAUAUAUAUGAUGUCGAGCAAUGGAGAUGGGUAACUGAGAGAUGGAGGGAUGAUAGUUGCAAGCAAUGGGCGAUGAGGAUAGUGUUGCGUCUUCUGCAAGUGCCAACUGGCCACCUGUAGCUCGUCAAUUUGCUUGUUAAUUAACGAACCACAUUGGCAACGCUAUCUUUCUUAAUGUGUUUCACCACAGAUGUACGCGGUUGGCUGAUGGCUGUCGCUCCCGUUUGUUCGCAUCUUCGGUUGUUGACAUGUGGAAAUGAAGUGUCGGUUCCCAUGCGUGAUCGGUACCUCACCACUCCACUUCAAGUCGCGACGUAAUUAAUGACCGACGGUGCGAUGCAAAACCUUCACUCGCCAAUCAAGUCAUUCGUGACUCAUGUGGGGCCAUUAACCAUCUUUUUGCUCUACAGUAAUCAAAGAAAAGCUCACAUGAUGUGUUCUCAUAUCAGCAUACAAAUGAAUUUUAUGUGACUUUUAAUAUACAUACAUAUUCUCUCCUGUCAAAACAUAUCCUAAACUCAUGUUUAUUUUUACCAUUAUAUAUAUCAUCACGAGACCAAAAGACAAAAAGGCAUGGGAUAACAUAACGCAUGUCAAUGUUUCCAUGUGAAUCACGCCUACAGAAUCCUUCACCUACCGAAGGUGUGGUUGGUUGUCAAAGUUCAUCAUUAUUAUGUAAGGGACAUUUUUCUCAGCAUAUCGUCAAAUGCCAGCGCAUGACGUGUUACCUUUCAAAGUGCAUAGUUGACCCAUUCCGCGUGUAAUGUCUCCUACUUAGUUGUCCCUUCACGCAAUGCAUUUCUUUAUCAGUAUACGUAUACUUCACCUGUUCAUAGCAUCCAUAUUAAAGCUUAUGUAGGUGCAGCGAAAUUAGUUAAUCGUCUAUAAAUAGGAUAGAAAUGGAUAACAAGUCUUAUUAAAGCCAUUAAUUAAGAAUUUAGAAUAGAGAUAGUAUCAUAUUUGAUUUCACAUUGAUCAGAGACUUAGAGAAUCAAUACCUAAUACCUAAUAAAGAGUCAAAUACAAAUUUUCGUUUUUUGACAGACAACUUUUGGGAUCCACCUUAGGAAAGGAAAGAUCAUGUGGUCCCGCUUAACAAUUUAUGAUUCAAAAGAGCUCGUGAUUGAAUAGUUUGUGAAAAUAAGAAUAUUAUUUGGAUAAAAAUAAAUAGUAAAAAAAGGAUCAAAUGAUAUAUGGACACGUGGCAUAUUCACCGAUCUUUAAAGCAGCCGAUCGCACGAGUAGUAAGAACUACCAAAGCUCUCUCCACGAUGAGAAAGGGCAACGAAGGCGGGGGAGUGACGAUGUGAAAGAAUCAUAAAGACGAUUGUUAGCAACCCUUGUGGUCGAGGUGCCAGCGUGGUUCGAUCCAAUCCUAAAUGCGCUUGUCCACGUAGAUGCUCGAGUGAUGGAAGUGAGCAUUAUGUCGUGUUGAGUUUGAGCCUCGUCUAUCUCAAUAUAGUUUCUCUCUUGGUGAGUGGCCUGCUUAUUUAUCACCGGACACAGGUUAGGGUCGAGAGGAAGAUUUUUUGAUUUGACCCUUGCGAAAGUUAAAUUAGUGUUGGGUGAAGUAAGAGGGAGUUAAAUGCUCAAAGUUCUUCCCAUGAUGUCAAUUAUUGGGUUGACUUUUAUACAUGCGAACAAAGUUCUUCACUGCUUCAGUAUGAUAUUCGAUUUAUAGAUGAAAGGUUAUGUUUUUCUUCAGCUUCAUGUUGCUCAUGGUCCAAAGUGAACUUGCUAAAAGAAAAAACACUGUCAUGAUUAUGAUGGAAUAAUAUUUCAAACACUUAGAUUUUUAAUAUAAAAUUGUAUGUAUCUAAGAGCUGGUUGGAGAAUUGUAUAAGAUAUGUCUAUAGUUCAACGAGUUCUGAUAUUUUUGGAGUUUGUUGCAAUAGGAUUUUAUUCGUAAUAUUAAUAAACGAGAUCGAAUAAUUCUUUUUAUUUUAGCCUUAUUAUUUAUUCUGCAGACGUAAAGCAAGAUAAACAUUGUUAGCUCUUAUUUAAUUGCUGUAGCUUUCGUUAUCGUGUCUCGGAUCACGCGAUGGAAGUGAGACGGACGUCGUUAUGGUACAUGACGUAGACCACGAAGGCGACGACGAGUCCUGCGACAUCGGACGUCACCUGCUUGCUCACCACGUUCCCCGACGCGAACUGGAACACCCCCGUCCCUCCCACGAUGGCCUGGUCCGCCUUCCCGGACGCGUCCAUCCUUCCGAUCACCGUGAGCGUGCUGUCGCAGAAGUUUCCCGCCGUGAACACCAGCACCAGCGGUAUCAGCGACGACUCGUCCCGCUGCGACACGUGGAAGCUCACGCCCUGCGCCCUUCCGACUUCAGUCGACCACUUGGAGGGGCCGAUCCUCAGCACGGCGUCGAAGAUGUCGACGUCCCCGAAGGUGUAGGGGAGGCUCAUGUUCACCACGGUGACGGUGGUGUUGUCGGGCCCGAGAAAGGUCUCAUGGAAGUAGACGCGGAAGUGGAUUCUCUUCUGGAUGCCGAGUUCGAACUCGGAGGUGACGGGUAAGGCCGUGGCAGCCGCAAGGAGGGGGAAGAGGACGAGGAGUAAGUAGAGAUGAGAGGAGCUGUGUGGGGAUGAAGC
rnacentral:lncRNA from 1 species